rnacentral:rRNA from 1 species
UAGGGAAUCUUCCGCAAUGGACGCAAGUCUGACAGAGCAACGCCGCGUGAGUGAAGAAGGAUUUCGGUUCGUAAAACUCUGUUGUUAGAGAAGAACAGCGCAUAGAGUAACUGUUAUGCGUGUGACGGUAUCUAACCAGAAAGCCACGGCUAACUACGUGCCAGCAGCCGCGGUAAUACGUAGGUGGCAAGCGUUGUCCGGAUUUAUUGGGCGUAAAGCGAGCGCAGGCGGUCAAUUAAGUCUGAUGUGAAAGCCCCCGGCUCAACCGGGGAGGGUCAUUGGAAACUGGUUGACUUGAGUGCAGAAGAGGAGAGUGGAAUUCCAUGUGUAGCGGUGAAAUGCGUAGAUAUAUGGAGGAACACCAGUGGCGAAGGCGACUCUCUGGUCUGUAACUGACGCUGAGGCUCGAAAGCGUGGGGAGCGAACAGG